GACGAACGCUGGCGGCGUGCUUAACACAUGCAAGUCGAGCGGAAAGGCCACUUCGGUGGUACUCGAGCGGCGAACGGGUGAGUAACACGUGAGUAAUCUGCCCUUGGCUUCGGGAUAGCCACCGGAAACGGUGAUUAAUACCGGAUAUGACCGCUCUAGGCAUCUAGUGGUGGGGGCAAGAUGUUCGGCCAGGGAUGUGCUCGCGGCCGAUCAGCUUGAUGGGGAGGUAAUGGCUCGCCAUGGCUUCGACGGUUAGCCGGCCUGAGCGGUUGACAGGUCACACUGGGACUGAGACACGGCCCAGACUCCUACGGGAGGCAGCAGUGGGGAAUAUUGGACAAUGGGCGGAAGCCUGAUCCAGCAACGCCGCGUGAGGGAUGACGGCCUUCGGGUUGUAAACCUCUUUCGGUAGGGACGAAGCGCAAGUGACGGUACCUACUAAAGAAGCACCGGCCAACUACGUGCCAGCAGCCGCGGUAACAC
rnacentral:rRNA from 1 species